rnacentral:tRNA from 1 species
UGUCUCAGUUGGUAGAGCAUGGUGUUUGCAACGCCAGGGUUGUGGGUUCGAUUCCUAC